UACGGGGGGGGGCAAGCGUUGUUCGGAAUUACUGGGCGUAAAGGGCUCGUAGGUGGCCAACUAAGUCAGACGUGAAAGCCCCCGGCUCAACCGGGGAACGGGCGCCGAUACGACCGUCCUGGGACGGGACGGUAGGGGGACCUGGAACUCCGGUGGAGCGGUGAAAUGCGUUGAGAUCGGAAGGAACGCCCGUGGGCGAAGGCGGGCUACUGGGCCGGAUGACUGACGCUG
rnacentral:rRNA from 1 species